rnacentral:rRNA from 1 species
AGCUUGAAGUUUUAUUUUAGGUAAAUUCUGCCCAGCGUAAAUAUUAGCGGCCGCAGUACCUUGACUGUGCUAAGGUAGCAUAAUCAAUUGGCUUUUAAUUGAAGUCUGGAAUGAACGGAUUAAUGAGGACUUGCUGUCUCUAAAUAAUUUAUUUGAAAUUAUUUAUUAAGUGAAAAUACUUAUAAUUAGAAAAAAGACGAGAAGACCCUUAGAAUUUUUAAUAAAAUAUAGAUUAAUAUUAUUUUUUUGUUGGGGCGACAAAGAAACAUUUAAACUUUCAUUAUUUCAUGACAUUAAGAUUUGAAAGAAUAAAUUACCUUAGGGAUAACAGCAUAAUUAAUAAAUUAGUUUGUGACCUCGAUGUUGGACUAGGAACUAGUUGACUAACAGUCAAAAUAGAUUGUUCUGUUCGAACAGAAAUU